ensembl:snRNA U6 U6 spliceosomal RNA
GUGCUCGCUUCAGCAGCACAUAUACCAAAACUGAAACAAUACAGAGAAGAUUAGCAUGCCUUCUGCGCAAGGAUGGCAUACAACUUCUUGAAGCGUUCCAUAUUUUA